rnacentral:rRNA from 1 species
UACGUAGGGGGCAAGCGUUGUCCGGAAUUAUUGGGCGUAAAGAGCGCGUAGGCGGUCUGAUAAGUCGGUUGUGAAAGUCGGGGGCUCAACCCUCGGAUGCCGAUCGAUACUGUCAGGCUAGAGUCCGGAAGAGGCGAGUGGAAUUCCUGGUGUAGCGGUGAAAUGCGCAGAUAUCAGGAGGAACACCGGUGGCGAAGGCGGGCUUCUGG